GGGGAAUAUUGCGCAAUGCGGGAAACCCUGACGCAGCGACGCCGUGUGAGGGAAGAAGGCUUUCGGGUUGUAAAGCUCUUUCGGACGGAAAGAAAUCGCCGCCUCUAACAUAGUCGGUGGAUGACGGUACCGUAAGAAGAAGCACCGGAUCACUACGUGCCAGCAGCCGCGGUAAUACGUAGGGUGCGAGCGUUAAUCGGAAUUACUGGGCGUAAAGCGUGCGCAGGCGGUUUGGGUAAGACAGGUGUGAAAUCCCCGGGCUUAACCUGGGAACUGCGCUUGUGACUGCCAGGCUAGAGUACGGCAGAGGGGGGUGGAAUUCCACGUGUAGCAGUGAAAUGCGUAGAGAUGUGGAGGAACACCGAUGGCGAAGGCAGCCCCCUGGGCCUGUACUGACGCUCAUGCACGAAAGCGUGGGGAGCAAACA
rnacentral:rRNA from 1 species